rnacentral:rRNA from 1 species
UACGGAGGGUGCGAGCGUUGUUCGGAAUCAUUGGGCGUAAAGGGCGUGUAGGUGGUCUGUUAAGUCAUGUGUGAAAGCCCUCAGCUUAACUGGGGAAGUGCGCAUGAAACUGACAGGCUAGAGUACCGAAGAGGAAGGUGGAAUUCCAGGUGUAGCGGUGAAAUGCGUAGAUAUCUGGAGGAACACCGGUGGCGAAGGCGGCAUCCUGGACCAUAACUGACACUGAUAAGCGAAAGCCAGGGGAGCAAACGGG